rnacentral:rRNA from 1 species
UACGGAGGGUGCAAGCGUUGUCCGGAUUUAUUGGGCGUAAAGAGCUCGUAGGCGGUUCGUCGCGUCGGCUGUGAAAUCCCGAGGCUCAACCUCGGGUCUGCAGUCGAUACGGGCGGACUGGAGUUCGGCAGGGGAGACUGGAAUUCCUGGUGUAGCGGUGAAAUGCGCAGAUAUCAGGAGGAACACCGGUGGCGAAGGCGGGUCUCUGGGCCGAUACUGACGCUGAGGAGCGAAAGCGUGGGGAGCGAACAGG